AAUCCGAUUUGUGAUGAUGGGUCCAGUUUUGUUUGAAAUUGAAUACAUAUUCGAAUUGGGGAGGUAAAGAUGAUUCCAAUUGAGUGUCUGGUUUGUAUUUCUGGUGGCCACCACCGCCGAAAGUGAUUUUCGAUGUGGUGGCCCGCGGUGGUCCGUGACGGGCAUUCGAUCGGAGACGAUGAGAUGAGGGAGCGUUUCAG
rnacentral:lncRNA from 1 species